rnacentral:rRNA from 1 species
GGGCGGGCAGCCCCCCCGCCAUAAA